UCUACUCAGCAAAAUCUAUCCGGCAACAUAUGACAAUAAAUGCCUGCUAUGCGGGGAACACGCAACGCUUUUCCA
rnacentral:lncRNA from 1 species